GAUGAACGCUGACAGAAUGCUUAACACAUGCAAGUCUUUGGCGAAGCUGUGCUUGCACAGCCUAGCCAAGGCGGACGGGUGAGUAACGCGUAAGGAACUUGCCCUGCAGUCAGGGAUAACAGACGGAAACGACUGAUAAGACCUGGUAAAGUCAGGCGGACUCAUGUCCAGCCUGAUGAAAAGAGAUGCUGCAGGAGAGCCUUGCGUCCUAUUAGCUUGUUGGUGGGGUAACGGCCCACCAAGGCGAUGAGAGGUAGCCGGCCGGAGAGGGUGGACGGCCACAAGGGGACUGGGGUACGGCCCUUACUCCUACGGGAGGCAGCAGGGGGGAAUAUUGGACAAAGGGGGCAACCCUGAUCCAGCAAUUCUGUGUGCACGAUGAAGGUUUUCGGAUUGUAAAGUGCUUUCAGCAGGGAAGAAAAAAAUGGCGGUACCUGCAGAAGAAGCGACGGCUAAAUACGUG
rnacentral:rRNA from 1 species